rnacentral:rRNA from 1 species
UACGUAGGAUCCAAGCGUUAUCCGGAAUUACUGGGUGUAAAGAGUUGCGUAGGUGGCAUAGUAAGUAGACAGUGAAAGCGUUCGGCUCAACCGGAUAUCCAUUGUCUAAACUGCUAAGCUAGAGAACGAGAGAGGUAGAUGGAAUUCCCAGUGUAGGAGUGAAAUCCGUAGAUAUUGGGAGGAACACCGAUGGCGUAGGCAGUCUACUGGCUCGUUUCUGACACUAAGGCACGAAAGCGUGGGGAGCAAACAGG